UGGACGUCAUCACCAGCAGCCGGAUCGCCUGCCAAGACCAAGAUGCGUGUGACGCUCGGGCAGCCCUCCAGGCAGAGCCCGCCCUGGGGCCCCAGCCACCCACUCACCUUCAUGAGCUUCACCCCCGAGCUGGCGUGGCGAGCCUGGUUCAUCAUGUCCUACAUCCAGUGACAGAGCGGUGAGUGCGGGAGGGCAAUGUGGGAAGAAGGCGCCCCCCCUCCCCGCCCGUGCUCAGGAAACCAGGGCUACCUCCUACCCUCCCAGCUCUGACCUCAGGGCCCUGGAGAAGGCUUUCUGUCCCCGCCUGCAGCCCCCUCGGAGUUCCUUUACACCAUCCUCACCUCGAUCCUUCGCACAGCGUCUUCAAUGGCCGCAGACGUGGCUGCCAUCUCCUUGUCCACCAUGGCCCCCAGCUCCUCCUGCCGCACAUCCAGGCUCUUGGGCUUCAGCUCCUGGGAAGGCAGGAGUCAGACUUGGGUGUCCAUUAGGCCUGAGCAGGAAGAAAGCCCCGUGACGCUGCCGCACACAGGCCCCUCCCCAGGCUGCCAUGAAGACCCCCAGGGAGACAAGCCGGUGAAGUGGCUGACCCUGCCGCCCAGGACCCACUUACGGUCAGCAGGGUCAG